rnacentral:rRNA from 1 species
AACGGGUGAGUAAUAUAUCGGAACGUACCCUAGAGUGGGGGAUAACGUAGCGAAAGUUACGCUAAUACCGCAUACGAUCUAAGGAUGAAAGUGGGGGAUCGCAAGACCUCAUGCUCGUGGAGCGGCCGAUAUCUGAUUAGCUAGUUGGUAGGGUAAAAGCCUACCAAGGCAUCGAUCAGUAGCUGGUCUGAGAGGACGACCAGCCACACUGGAACUGAGACACGGUCCAGACUCCUACGGGAGGCAGCAGUGGGGAAUUUUGGACAAUGGGCGAAAGCCUGAUCCAGCAAUGCCGCGUGAGUGAAGAAGGCCUUCGGGUUGUAAAGCUCUUUUGUCAGGGAAGAAACGGUGAGAGCUAAUAUCUCUUGCUAAUGACGGUACCUGAAGAAUAAGCACCGGCUAACUACGUGCCAGCAGCCGCGGUAAUCGUAGGGUGCAAGCGUUAAUCGGAAUUACUGGGCGUAAAGCGUGCGCAGGCGGUUUUGUAAGUCUGAUGUGAAAUCCCC